rnacentral:tRNA from 1 species
GUCAGGAUGGUCGAGUAGUCUAAGGCGCCAGAUUCAAGUUCUGGUCCACAUGAGAGGGGCGUGGGUUCAAAUGCCACUUCUGAUA